rnacentral:lncRNA from 1 species
UCACCAAUGCCAAUGCAUCACAAAAAUGACUUCCAACCACCGCUUAGAGCCCUUUUCUAAAAUUAACUAGCUUCACUAUCAAAUAUUGUAAAAAUAGAAGUCCCCAAACCUCCAAAUUCUCAAUUCGUUUACAACAACAAAAUAUGUGUCCCAUUUCACAGCAGCCCCCAAACUAUGAAACAAUCCAACACUUGUUUAGGUUAAAUAAAGAAUAAAUAACCUUCUGGACAUUAUUUACAAAAUUAAUUUCCCAAAAAAUCACACUCAAAUUUCUCUUCAACUUCCCACUUUUGAUCCCAACAUUACUGACGUGAGCUGUCUUCCUCAAUGUCUUUAGAUUAUUCUCAUCGGAAAAAACCAAUAUUUUUUGACGGAAUCGACUUUUAUCACCACUCUUGGAUAGUGCAGAGGAGGCUUUGACGGCCAAUAUUGCCAUUCCAUUCGCCUUCAGUUAGCUCUUCAAGUGGCUCCACCUGUGAUUUGAACGCCGAUGUGCACGACCUUGCUGGCCAGAGCUCCGAUGAUGACAGUGCAAGACUAGGAGAGUGAGAAAUGAGAGCGGG